rnacentral:rRNA from 1 species
UACGUAGGGUGCAAGCGUUGUCCGGAAUUAUUGGGCGUAAAGAGCUCGUAGGCGGUUUGUCGCGUCGGCUGUGAAAACCUGGGGCUUAACUCCGGGCCUGCAGCCGAUACGGGCAAGCUAGAGUUCGGACAGGGGAGACUGGAAUUCCGUGGUGGAGCGGUGAAAUGCGUAGAUAUUGGAAAGACCACCGAUGGCGAAGGCACUCUACUGGGCCACUACUGACACUGAGAGACGAAAGCUAGGGGGAGCAAAUGGG